rnacentral:lncRNA from 1 species
GGGUAAAGAUCUAUCGGACCUAGCAUAUAUAAGGCAGUAAAGGCAUGUAAGAUCUACCAGCCGAUACGACCUGAUAACUGUGAACGUUUAAACAUGGCAGGGGAGCCAAUGAAGACAGCCUAACCAGAUUUAAGCUGUUUGAUAACUGUGAGCAACUUCGAAGACAAGCAGAAUAUUGGACAAAGUCUAGAAAGUUCUACUUACCAUCUAAGUUAACUCCAUAACUAGCCACACGACCGAAUAUCAGAAUAUAAGACUUAACUUAGAAAGUUCCGAUAGAGAUCGUAAUGACCAGAUGACGGUACUUACAAGCUCGCCUGAGAUCAAAUCGAUGUAGCCCUGCGCGCUAGAAGAAACUCGUCGAGAAACUACAUUACUCCUACUCCUAAGGGUUGGCGGCGGGGCGCCAAAAAGUUGUAUUGAUUGAUUUAGAGAUGUAUGUUACAAUGGCCAAAAGUUGUAUUGAUUGAUUUAGAGAUGUAUGUUACAAUGGUCAGGGGUACAUAUUUAUACCCUAGACUAAUGACUCCCUAGUCAGCUACGAUAAUGACUUUACAAAACUUGCCUAACAAUAAAUAUCUAAACAAAAGAAAAUAUUAAGAUACAUGGACUCUAAUUCCCUUUAUGUAGAAUCCCUCUCGAUGAAAAUUCUGUCUUGCAUUGUCAUCAGGUUCUUAUUUCCCUUUCCUUUCAUACGUGAACUAUUAACACCCAAC